rnacentral:tRNA from 1 species
GUCAGGAUAGCUCANCUGGUAAAGCAAAGGAC